GGAAAAGAACCUGGCGGCUAUAAUGGAAGCAAGGAGCCCGAAGAACGAAGUUGGAACUCACCGUAGCCCAGGGUUUGCUCUACUGGGGGCACCGGGUCGUCGUGCCACAGACAGCACGUGGAGCGAUGCUAAAAAUGCUGCACGAGACCCAUCAAGGAGCAUCGGCGAUGAAGGCGGUCGCGCGGACACUUCUUUGGUGGCCAGGGCUCGAUGGAACCCCGUAGCAAGCUGUGGCCCGGAAAUCCAGUUUGGGCCCGGAAC